UUAGGAGUCCAUAGGAUUUUUUUGUAUUUUAAGAGUCCUUUAAAAUCUGGUGGUAUUCAAUCAGGAUUUUUAAAAGUCCUUUAAAAUCUGGUGGUAUUCAAUCAAGAUUUUAAAAAGUCCUUCCAAAUCUAGCGGUAUUCAAAAGCCCAACGAUUUGAAAGAUUUUAUUAGAUGCUUGAUUUUGUAGGAUUCUAGGGUGUCUGGUAUAAAUACCAAACCCUAUCACAAAUCCACCCUCUAGACGUGAGAUUUUGACGUCUUUCAUUUUUUUUCUCUCUCUCUCUGAAGAUGAAAUGCCGUCAAAGACAGAAAACGGACUGACAAAAGAGAGAAGACAGACUGACAUCGAGCUGACCUCAACCUGUCAACUUGGGGGAAAUUAUCACUUGCUAAAAAGGUAUUUUUGAUACACAAGCUAGUGUUGAUUGCAGUGAUUUUGGCUAUUUUUGAUACGUUUAUGUGAAUGUGCUGGAUUCUGCAUAUUUGGUUUGGUAUUGAUAGUUGAAAUAAUACACGGCUUCUUUUUGGGCUUUGUCUUGUUUGGUUGUAAUCCUUGUGUACUUUGUGAUUUCUACCCAUGAAAUAGCAGUACUUUUCUAUUUUUGCUCUCUAGUCGCAUGGUUUGUGUUGUUUUGGUCUGGUUAAUGCAUCAGAUUUUCUCAUGUUCAAAUUUGAUAUGGCCUUGGUUUUGGUACGAUCCCUGUGAUUUUGUUGUGCUGCAUCAUUGUGUUGCAUGCAGUUUAGGGAGAUCGAUUAUAAAAAUGACUUUUGAUAUAUGAUGUUGUCUUAUAUAGCAGCUUUUGGGGCAUAUGUUUUCCUCUUUUCCUAAGAUGUUAAGAGCCAACGUUUCUCUCUUUUUUCACUUGUUCUCAUUUCCAAGGUUAUAUACAUCAUCAGUCUUGUAUCAUUAUAUAUGAAUGUUAGAGUAGUUAUGAGGGUUUUGUUGCAGAACUAAUUAAAUUAUGUGGAUUUCUUUGUAAUUUGAAGUUUUGUAUACUGUACACUUUGAGCUUCAACAUUUUUCUUUUAAUGUCUACCUAUACUCUGUUAGGUUCGAAUUGAUAUGUUUGGUUUCAAGUUUUUGUUCUUCAUUAGCUAUGAAUUGUAUCUAUUACAACUUUGCUUUGUAUCUUUUAACACCCAAACACUUGCAAAAUCUUUCAGACUAAAUAAUGAAUUCAGAAUUUCUGUCUCGAGAAAUCAAAAUACAAUUGUGUUUUUGAGUACUGAUACUUUGGUAGUCCUGUCUUUUAACUAGAGAAUAUUGUUUCAUGUUUCUUGCUGUUGCAAAGUUAUCCAUCUUUAGUUUCUAUAAUAACAAAUUAUGUUAUUUGUUUCGACUACAAUGACAUAUUAUUGUUUUUAUCCAAAUCUGCUAUAUUGUUUGAAUUUGCUGCUAUAUGCUAGCUAGCUCUUACCAUAAUAAGGUAUCUAGCUAAAUAAUUUCUUUUGACUGUGAUGAUAUAGUCUAAUGCAUUCAUUAGCAUUCAAGAACAUUCCGGGAGAAAUUUUGUUUUCUUGAGUUUUUGGGGUGAAAAACAAUGCUGAGCUGAGGUCGAUCUUAACUAUUUUUCUUUGGAAUGAGCAGGUUCCUACUUCGGUUCUUGACUGUGAGCCGAACUUUGAUUUCAAGAAAGACAUUGAAUCAAAGAGAGUAUUAUCAUCAUGGUUGAUCCACAACAAGAUGUAAAAAAAAUGGGAAUUAUGAGCAGUGGACCAAGGAAGAGACUGAUACCUUGUUAGAACUCAUGGUUGAUGCCGCCGUUAGGGGAUGGCGUGACAAUAGUGGCAUCUUAAGUAAGCAAACAGUGGAAGAAAGAAUACUUCCUGUUCUUAAUGCAAAACUUGGGUGUCAAGAUAGACCGCGAAAUGAUGAUAAUGGAAGUCAAGAGAAUAACAAUGAUACUCAAGGCAAUGAGAAUGAGAAUAAUGAGGAACAUAUGGAUGAUGGGGAUCAAGAAGGUUAUGAUGAUAAUGAGG